rnacentral:rRNA from 1 species
UACAUAGGUCUCGAGCGUUAGGCGGAAUCACUGGGCUUAAAGCGUGUGUAGGCGGAUCGUUAAGUGCCUUGUGAAAUCCCACGGCUCAACCGUGGAACUGCUUGGCAUACUGGCGGUCUUGAGCAACCUAGGGGCGAGCGGAACAAAUGGUGGAGCGGUGAAAUGCGUAGAUAUCGAGAGGAACACCUGCGGCGAAGGCGGGUUGCUGGGCUGACACUGACGCUGAUGCGCGAAAGCCAGGGGAGCGAACGGG